rnacentral:rRNA from 1 species
UGGGGAAUAUUGGACAAUGGGCGCAAGCCUGAUCCAGCCAUGCCGCGUGAGUGAUGAAGGCCCUAGGGUUGUAAAGCUCUUUCGCCAGGGACGAUAAUGACGGUACCUGGAUAAGAAGCCCCGGCUAACUUCGUGCCAGCAGCCGCGGUAAUACGAAGGGGGCUAGCGUUGUUCGGAAUCACUGGGCGUAAAGCGCACGUAGGCGGAUCUUUAAGUCAGGGGUGAAAUCCCGAGGCUCAACCUCGGAGCUGCCUUUGAUACUGGAGGUCUCGAGUUCGGGAGAGGUGAGUGGAACUGCGAGUGUAGAGGUGAAAUUCGUAGAUAUUCGCAAGAACACCAGUGGCGAAGGCGGCUCACUGGCCCGAUACUGACGCUGAGGUGCGAAAGCGUGGGGAGCAAAACAGGAUUAGAUACCCUGGUAGUCCACGCCGUAAACGAUGGAUGCUAGCCGUUGGGGAGCUUGCUCUUCAGUGGCGCAGCUAACGCUUUAAGCAUCCCGCCUGGGGAGUACGGUCGCAAGAUUAAAACUCAAAGGAAUUGACGGGGUCAUAGCUGUUUCCUG